rnacentral:rRNA from 1 species
CCAGGGGCCUGACGGUACCAGGAGAAGAAGCACCGGCUAACUCUGUGCCAGCAGCCGCGGUAAUACAGAGGGUGCAAGCGUUGUUCGGAAUUAUUGGGCGUAAAGCGCGUGUAGGCGGCUUUGCAAGUCAGAUGUGAAAGCCCUCGGCUUAACCGAGGAAGUGCGUCUGAAACUGCAGAGCUUGAGUCUCGGAGAGGAUGGCGGAAUUCCGCAAGUAGAGGUGAAAUUCGUAGAUAUGCGGAGGAACACCGGUGGCGAAGGCGGCCAUCUGGACGAGAACUGACGCUGAGACGCGAAAGCGUGGGGAGCAAACAGGAUUAGAUACCCUGGUAGUCCACGCUGUAAACGAUGAGAACUAGGUGUCGUGGGUGUUGACCCCCGCGGUGCCGCAGCUAACGCAUUAAGUUCUCCGCCUGGGAAGUACGGCCGCAAGGCUAAAAACUCAAAGGAAUUGACGGG